GUAGGAAAUAACAAAAAUGUCAAAAAUAACACUGCAAAAUUUAAGUGUCCUAGAACAGUGCUUAAAGCUGAAUUAACAUGAUGAUUUUAAAUUUGUAUUGUUUAUUUCUUGUCAUUACGACUUUGACGCGGCUGUUGUCAUGACAACAGAUAACAAAACAUGUUUUGUUGAAGGAUUAUUGAUGAAUAAUUUUCCACAAAAAAUUGGAUUUUAACCACGAUAGGAAAAUGAGAACCUGCGCCUAUCCGUUUAAACCGAUUGUAGAAUUUAUGGAAAGAUAUGGCGAUCUGAGUAUGCCCACUGAAGGACCCCAAGAAAGAGCCAACAAUACCUAGUCAACGGUGGGUGGAACUAACGGACACGCGAACGUGAAAUGCUGAUGCCACCGGCGACACGAAAACUACUGAGAAAUUGAGAAAAGUGUGGAGUGACUUUAAACAGCAAGAAGAAGGCAACUCGCAUACACAGAGCUGCCAAGGGAACACUGGACUGGUGGCGGUCCAGGUUCUUCCCUGAAGCCAAAGGAUUUAGAGCAGAGUGCUUGUAAAUAACUACUUGUAAAUUAAAUCCAUAAUAAAGACCUAGGGUAACUGGAUGGAUAUACCUACCUUAUUAUUGUAAAAGAUAUUAUAAUUAAUUAAAUACAUUAUAUUGUUUUAAUCUUUCAUGGUCACUAAACAUACAUGGUAGCAAUCUCGUCAGUAAUAAUAAUUAAGUAAAUACAUAUCCUACUAAUAUCCUACUAAAUAUUAAAAAUACGAAAGUUUGGAUGUCAUUAUGUCUAGAUGUUUGUUACUCUUUCACGCAAAA